GGGGGUGUAGCUCAGGGGUAGAGCGCUCGCUUUGCAUCUCCGAGUAGUCAAGCAUGCGAGAGGCCUAGGGUUCAAAUCCCUACUCCUCCA